rnacentral:RNase_P_RNA from 1 species
UUUGUAGAUCGGAUGAUCGCGGGCCGCAAGGUCUGAGGAAAGUCCGGGCUCCCAGGGUGGGCGUGGCGGGUAACACCCGCUCCCGGUGACGGGCAGAUAAGAGCCACAGUGACGAUGCCUCCUCGAAAGAGGAGGAGUGAAACGGGCAAUCUCCACGUGGAGCAAGGUUAAAUAGGGGAAGAGGACACACCCGUCCGUUGGAUUCCCGGGUAAACCGCAUAGAGGGAUGAUCAUCACUUUGCCUAAGGCGGCAGAGAACAGAACCCGGCUUACAGAUCUACAAAAACC